GUGUUCUAAAGGAGAGAUGGUUGACAUCUCCCCUGACAGGGAUGGGAACAACCUUUGGGCUUUUCCUGUUAUCACACAUACAGUUAAGGCUGCCCAAUUUGGUGGAUCCCUAAACCAAUUU